rnacentral:rRNA from 1 species
UACGUAGGGUGCGAGCGUUUAAUCGGAAUUACUGGGCGUAAAGCGUGCGCAGGCGGUUUGUUAAGACAGAUGUGAAAUCCCCGGGCUUAACCUGGGAACUGCAUUUGUGACUGGCAAGCUAGAGUAUGGCAGAGGGGGGUAGAAUUCCACGUGUAGCAGUGAAAUGCGUAGAGAUGUGGAGGAAUACCGAUGGCGAAGGCAGCCCCCUGGGCCAAUACUGACGCUCAUGCACGAAAGCGUGGGGAGCAAA